UGCUACUUUUAAGCCUUAUUUUUUAAUAGAAUUUGCAGCAUCUUUAGCAUUUUCUACCUGUUACUGACAGAAUUCUUACUGGUUUACCUAUCUAAUCCUAGACAUGACUUUUCAUCAUAUAGAGUGCUAUAUCACUUGAGAUAAGGUAGGUGCUAUGCAUAAAUAAAAUUUUGACUGUGGCAAAAAUACGCAGAACGGAUGAAAAUCCAUAUGAAAUCUGCAUUUCUCCCAAACAUUCUAAGAGAGUAGGGAUAGGCACAGGGAUAGAAAAGAUCAGAGUAGAACAGAACUUUAUUUGGCCAAGUAUGAUUAGACACACAAGGAAUUUGUCUCGGUACAUAAGCUCUCGGUGUAUAUGCAAAACAACAGAGCAAUAAUAAUCAUAAUAAUGAUACCAAUAAAAGAAGGUAGUAGAAAAGAUGAGAAGGAUAAUAGUAGGAUCCAAUCUGGGUUGGUCACCAGGACCAGAGGUUUAGUUUUCUGAGCUUUCAACCUCAUGCUGGAGCCCAUCCACAGGAACUUCUCUCUACAUCUAUAAAAUCAUCUAUAUUUUUCUAAAAAAAUUACUAACCAGAUCUAACAAGAUUCUUUGGGAACAACAGUCCACGUAUGUUCUUAGCUCUUUCAUCUGUGAAUCUCAUUCCUAGGCAUUUUAAAAUCUUGAUCUCUUAAAAUAUCUUGGUUUUGCAUUAUUUACAAAACCUAAAACUUCAGUUUAAAAGAUAUAUUUUUUCUUCACUUCAUCAAAACUAUUCAUUUGUUGUUGUUUCUCCUCUUUUUGUUUCCUACUCAUAAAUUCAUAUUUUGGAUUGAUCUCUCAUUUUACUCUGUUUCAACAUUCAGAUCACUUCUUUUUUCACAAAGCAUACAGUUAGCAGUCAGGGCAUAUGGCAAUUAUCAUGAAAUGUUAAUUUCUAAAUUUCAAUAGGUCAAAGGAAUAUGGAUCUGUGGGGGACAUUACUCAUUCAGAGAAUUCAAGUUACUGUUAACAGUAGAUGCAAGCUUCACGGAUCAUGGUGCAGUCUGAGAAUGGUGGACUUUUUUCACCAUAUAGAAGUGUUCAGACUGGUUGUUCUUUCCGAUACAACUUUCACAAGCUUCAGGGCUAAGACUGCUGUUACUCACUCCUCCUUGCUUUGGCAUAAAAAGCUCGCUGAGGGUAUCUUAUUGCGGGUUUGCCUUAAGGUAGAUUAGAUUAAUUAUUACUAUGUAAUGCAAGUAAAAGCAAAUAAAGCUUAGGAUUAGUGCUGCCUUUAGAAAUUCCUGAAAAAUAAAUGCUUGUCAAUCUUAAUGGAAUGUGGUAAGCUUUUCUCAUAUCAGUGAGAACGAGAGAACUAUUUACCCCAUGAGAGGGGUAUUUAUAUUGGGAUAAGCACAUAGGCUUGAAUAUGGAAAGAAGGUAUCUCAAACUGAGAGAAGCUGAAAUUUUCAUGGAAGACUCAAAGUUGUGCUAAAGCAGCAAAAUUUGCUUGAAAACAAAGCCUUAUGUAAUCACUUGAACUUCAGUGCCUUUUCUGUAUUGUUAUUAAUGCUAAUCAUUCGUGAUAGCUCAAAGUAUUACACGGUUUGCUUUACAAAAUAUUAAUUUCACAUAUUGGUAAAGGAGGAGAAAAUGAGUAAUUAAGAUAAUCUAUGCAUUAUUGCCAAGCCAUACAGAAUUGUUUUUCAAGUGGCGUUAGAAGUAACCGUUAAAACAACGAAGUUUUGAAGUGUAUUUUGGUUCAUAAUUGUUCAACUGUGUUUGUAUAACAUGUUUCAUUUAAUAAUUUGAAGUGUGAAUCACAGUAAGCAUACACAUAUGUAUAUGUAUGCUCCGUUUAACAUGUAAAUUAUUGUUAGAAUAUUUUUAUUGGUUGUUGUUGCCCUUUUAGUGCCUUAUUCUGAGAAUUCUUUUACUGCCAUGUCAAAUGAGUUUAGAAAUUUAAAAUACCUAUUGCUGUUGUCAGUAGUUUUAUUGAUUGAAGUAUUGUAGGAUCUAGCUCCAUUUUCAGUUGUACAAUCUUGAAUAAAACUGUUGGUUACCACAAGAUAAUUUAAUCAUAAUACAAAUAGUAAUAAACACUUUUACAGUGAAAACAAGUUAAAUCUCUUAACAUGUUAAAAUUCCAGGUAAUACAGGAGUUGAAUACUUUUUAAAUUUUUGUCUUGUAGCAGGAAUAUUAUGGUAUUAACCGUAUGAUUUAUUUUAUUUCUUAACCAAAUACCUCUUUAGUAAUUUAUAAUGGCUUUGCAGUUAUGUAUUAAAUAAGAAGCACUGGAAAAAAUGAUUCGUCUUCAUGGCGAUUUGCAUGUUUCAAGUGGUGUUGAAAGCCUUAGCAAUAGAUAUGUAAUAAGCAUAUCUGUUAAUCCAGCAGUUAUGACUCGUGCUCAUUUAAUACAAAAUAAAACUAAUUUAUGAAAUAAUUAUUUUGAAAAUGACUGUGGUAUUUUCUCCAGAAUACAGUUCCUAGGAAGUUUUGUUAUACUUUACAGAUGACCAACUGUUAGCAUAUUUAAAUCUGAUGCUACUUGAUAAUUUUUUUAAAAUUAAAUUUUUAUAAUGUCAUACUACAUUUUAAUACAGGGUAAAAUAGUAGAAAUCGCAUAGGAUAUUAAAGUACUUGUUUUGAUAAUUAAAUUGUUAAAACCAUUUACUAAGCACAUAAUGAUUUCCAUCAGAAGCCUUAUACCAGGUACACAGCUCUUACAAUAUUAUAUUUACAUGAAUUUUACUUUAUGCAUAAACCAUCAUUGUUAAUAAAAACAUGUUACAUUGAUUUCUGCCAUCUGGAAAUCAAUGGUAUUGCUCUGUUACUAUAUACAAAUAAUAUGGACUCUAGCAAAGCUUAGGUGGGUAAUAAGAAUUGAGAGAAGAUUGACAAUGAAUGCUGAAAAGUUAAAAGAGGUUAGGAAAGUGUAGUUAAAGAAGGCCAGAGAAAUUUGAAUUUGUCAAAGCGGUCUGAGAAAAGAGGAGAGUGUUUGAGAUAAGAAGGCAAAAGACUGUGGGAUGACUGACAUGUAGUAUGAGAAGAUCAGCAAGUGGAAAGAAGGAACGGGGGGAGGACUUGUGUGCUUGAGAUAGUACAAAGCCAAAGAGAUGGGACUAAUAGGUAUAGAACUUUAAAGUUUUGUUAACUGAUUCAGAGCUUGGAAAAGGGUCCACAGAUUGGUUAGACAGACUGAUAGUCUAGAGCAGGGAUGUCAAACUCAUGGCCCACAGGCCGGAUGUAUCAUGCACUGGUCACCCCACCCCUGGUUUAGCAAAGGGGAGAAAAGUUGCAAUACAUCACGUGACGAUAUGACACUGCGAGUUUGACACCUCUGGUCUAUAGUGAAGAAGAAACUUACCUCGAGAAAAAACUGAGAAGAUAACCAAGGAUAUGGCUACUGAAUUUGUUUGCUUCAUGGUUAAAACCAGCAGAGUGAAAAGAUAUGGAAUAUUUUGAGUUUGAAUUGCUCUACAGUAUUCAAAAUGGAAAACAGCUGCCCAAGCUGUAGUACAAGAGUUCUGAUCACAAUGGUACCAUUUUGAAUUGGAAACAUUUUGUCAGAAUAAGGGCAGAAUGUUUCUAAUAAGGUUCAGAACAACCCAUUUCAAUCUUGAAUUGUUUUAUAUUCUUCUAAUUAAAACUUUAAAAUUAAGGGGUUUUUAAAAAGAAAAAUGACUGUUUCCAUUAAGACAAAAUAGAAUAAGUUUGAUUUUAAAAAAAGAAGGUAAAAACGUUACCUGUAAACGUGCAGUUUUCAAUGUUCUUACCAUUAUUUACAAUUUCAGUAAAUGGGAUGAGUGAUACCUAACAGGAAGACAGAAAUAAUCUAAACAAUGCAUACCCAAAUAGUAGCUUAAUAACACCAGAACUGACAUAGAAUUAUAUAUUAUAGGGAGAGGUAUAUUAAUGCAGAACAAUAUUAGCCCAUCUAUGGAAUGUUGCCAUGCAUUCUGGAGAAUUAUGCCUAAGCCCAAAAUUUAGAGUGCUCAAUUUGUUCAAUCUCCAGGGGCUAUUUUUUAUAACAUUGAAGAAUUCAUUCCUGUUAUGUGUAAUUGUAAACAACUAAUCAUGCCUGGUUGUGAAUUUGGUGUUAAGUCCCUCCCUGCAGUGUCAGUAAAAUAUGUUUUAAUGCAACAAUUUCAUCUGUAUAAUGUAUCAUAUUCUGUAUUUUUAGUACUGUUAAAUUUUCAUUUUGAUGGUUGGUUCUUUGGUAUUCCUCAACCCAUAUGUAUAUAUUUGCCACCUUAUAAAUCCAUGUCAUGAAUCAUUUGGAGUAGCUGUUGCCUGUAAAACAUUAUGCUGCAAUAAAAUAAACCAAUGAAUCUUUGAAUUGCCAAGAAAGUUGUUUUAGUGCUCUAUG
ensembl:lncRNA